rnacentral:rRNA from 1 species
GACGAAGGUGGCGAGCGUUGUUCGGUGUCACUGGGCUUAAAGCGUGUGCAGGCGGAAAGGUAAGCGUCUUGUGAAAGCCCUCGGCUUAACCGAGGAAUUGCUCGACGAACUGCUUUUCUUGAGGCAGGCAGGGGUGCACGGAACUCUUGGUGGAGCGGUGAAAUGCGUAGAUAUCAAGAGGAACGCCAGUGGUGAAGACGGUGCACUGGGCCUGAUCUGACGCUGAGACACGAAAGCGUGGGGAGCGAACGGGAUUAGAUACCCGCGUA